UAGCACAUAGAUAUAUUGUUCAUGUCAUAUAGAUGUUUUUCUCUUCUUCUUUCUUUCCUCUUGAAGCUGGUGCUCCCAGUACUCGGUAUUUUUUUUGGUGUACAUUCUCUUUGCACGUUCUUGCUUUCGCAAGUCGCAUUGCCUUGACUCGAGUUUCAACACGUCUGCAGCAGCAUCCCAAUUGUUUGAUUUUCUUAAGACUAUGCUCCUUGCGACAUCAUUGUUUUUCUCAACGCCUUGACCACUAAACAGUUUUACAGUUUUGUAUGUCUUUAGAAAUGUUGGUACAUGGUAAACCAUAGCAUGCAUGUAGGGGGUUACCUUGCUUUUUGUAUAACCAAC